GAAAUUCGAUAAGUAAUGUGAAUUGCAGAAUUCAGUGAAUCAUCGAAUCUUUGAACGCACCUUGCGCUCCUUGGUAUUCCUUGGAGCAUGCCUGUUUGAGUAUCAUGAAAUCUUCAAAGUAAAUCUUUUGUUAACUCAAUUGGUUUCUACUUUGGUAUUGGAGGUCUUUGCAGCUUCACACCUGCUCCUCUUUGUUCAUUAGCUGGAUCUCAGUGUUAUGCUUGGUUCCACUCGGCGUGAUAAGUUAUCUAUCGCUGAGGACACUGUAAAAGGUGGCCAAGGUAAAUGCAGAUGAACCGCUUCUAAUAGUCCAUUGACUUGGACAAUACUUUUAUGAUCUGAUCUCAAAUCAGGUAGGAAUACCCGCUGAACUGAAGC
rnacentral:misc_RNA from 1 species